rnacentral:misc_RNA from 1 species
UCCGGUUUGUCACCGGCAGUCUCAUUAGAGUGCCCUUGCGUAGCAACUAAUGAUAAGGGUUGCGCUCGUUGCGGGACUUAACCCAACAUCUCACGACACGAGCUGACGACAGCCAUGCAGCACCUGUGUUCAGGUUCUCUUUCGAGCACGAAGCCAUCUCUGGCAACUUCCUGACAUGUCAAGGGUAGGUAAGGUUUUUCGCGUUGCAUCGAAUUAAUCCACAUCAUCCACCGCUUGUGCGGGUCCCCGUCAAUUCCUUUGAGUUUUAAUCUUGCGACCGUACUCCCCAGGCGGUCGACUUCACGCGUUAGCUGCGUUACCGAAGGAGUUACCCUCCGACAACUAGUCGACAUCGUUUAGGGCGUGGACUAC